ACCUCGUGAUUUGGACAUUGCAUUAGUUUUCCAUUGAAUAUUUCCUAUACUUCAUACAAAGGCUCUCCAUUCAGUUACCUAAAAUUGAUGAUUUUAUUCCCUAAUU